UCCAAUCGAACCCGGAGAUAGCUGGUUCUCCUCGAAAUAGCUUUAGGGCUAGCCUCAUGGAUCAUUGAUGGGGGUAGAGCACUGAAUGUGCGCGGGGGCCACAAAGCCUACCAAACGCUAUCAAACUUCGAAUACCAUACAAUGCAGACCAUGGGAGUCAGUCCGCGAGAGAUAAGUUCCGCGGGCAAAAGGGGAACACCCCAGAUCAACCGCUAAGGUCCCCAAGUUCACGUUAAGUGGAGAAGGAUGUGGAAUUGCACAGACAACCAGGAUGUUGGCUCAGAAGCAGCCACACAUUUAAAGAGUGCGUAAUAGCUCACUGGUCGAGUGAUUGUGCGCCGAAGAUGUCCGGGGCUAAACGUGACACCGAAGCGAUGGGUGCAUCUGAAGAAGAUGCGCGGUAGAGGAGCAAUGUGCAGAGGCAGAAGCCGUAUCGAGAGGCACGGUGGACACUGCACAAGAGAGAAUGCCGGUAUGAGUAGCGAGAGGCAUGCGAGAAACAUGCCCGUCGAAAGCCCAAGGUUUCCUGGGGAAGGUUCAUCCGCCCAGGGUAAGUCGGGGCCUAAGCCGAGGACGGAAGUCGUAGGCGAUGGACAGCAGGUGUAGAUUCCUGCACUACCGAUGGAAUGAAGCAGUGACACAGAAGGAUAACUCGAGCAGGGUGAUGGUCAACCCUGUGCAAGCAUCAAGGUUGGGUUGUAGUGAAGUACGCAACCCUAUAAGCUGAGAUGUGAUGCGGACCGAAAUUUCAGUAGGGAAGCGAGUGAGUUCACGCUGGCGAGAAAAGCUGCUAGUACAUCCAAAGGUACCCGUACCGGAAACCGACGCAGGUGGGCGAGGAGAGAAUCCUGAGACGAACGGGAGAACCCUUGUUAAGGAACUCGGCAAAAUGACCCCGUAACUUCGGGAUAAGGGGUGCCUGCGAGAGCAGGCCGCAGAGAAUAGUCACAAGCGACUGUUUAGCAAAAACACAGGUAUCUGCGAAAGCGAGAGCUGACGUAUAGGUGCUGACACCUGCCCGGUGCUGGAAGGUUAAGGGAACAUGUUAGAGCAAUCGAAGCAUCGAACCGAAGCCCCAGUAAACGGCGGCCGUAACUAUAACGGUCCUAAGGUAGCGAAAUUCCUUGUCGGGUAAGUUCCGACCCGCACGAAUGGUGUAACGACUUGUGAGCUGUCUCAACAGGGGGCCCGGUGAAAUUGAAGUAUGGGUGAAGAUGCCCAUUACCCGCGACUGGACGGAAAGACCCCGUAGAGCUUUACUGCAGCCUGAUAUUGAGUUUCGGUAACUGAUGCACAGGAUAGGUGGGAGUCUGAGAGACAUGGGUUUCGGCUCAUGUGGAGACGGUGUUGGGAUACCACUCUUCGGUUACUGAAAUUCUAACAUAGCUCUGUGAAACCAGAGGAUGGACAGUGUCAGGUGGACAGUUUGACUGGGGCGGUCGCCUCCGAAAGAGUAACGGAGGCGCCCAAAGGUACCCUCAGAAUGGAUGGAAACCAUUCGAAGAGCGCAAAGGCAGAAGGGUGCCUGACUGCGAGAUUGACAAAUCGAGCAGAGACGAAAGUCGGGCUUAGUGAUCCGGCGGUAUUGAGUGGAAAAGCCGUCGCUUAACGGAUAAAAGCUACCUCGGGGAUAACAGGCUGAUCUCCCCCAAGAGUCCACAUCGACGGGGAGGUUUGGCACCUCGAUGUCGGCUCAUCGCAUCCUGGGGCUGUAUUCGGUCCCAAGGGUUUGGCUGUUCGCCAAUUAAAGCGGUACGCGAGCUGGGUUCAGAACGUCGUGAGACAGUUCGGUCCCUAUCCGGCGUGGGCGUAGGAUAUCUGAGAGGAGCUGUCCUUAGUACGAGAGGACCGGGAUGGACUGACCUCUGGUGCACCAGUUGUUCCGCCAGGAGCAUGGCUGGGUAGCUAAGUCGGGAAGGGAUAAACGCUGAAAGCAUCUAAGCGUGAAGCCUCCCUCAAGAUGAGAUUUCCCAUAGCAUAAGCUAGUAAGACCCCUUGAAGAACACAAGGUUGAUAGGUCAGAGGUGUAAGUGCGGUAACGUAUUUAGCUGACUGAUACUAAUAGGUCGAGGGCUUGACCAA
rnacentral:rRNA from 1 species